rnacentral:rRNA from 1 species
GAAUUGAUAUAUMAAACAAACUUUAWYAMUAGGUGGAAUAAAAUGUAUUGAAUUAUUUAUUAUGAUAAAAUUGUACUAAAAAAAUUUAAAUUUAAACCAGAAUUAGAUACUCUGUUAUAUUAAAUUAAAGAAGUUUCCAAAUUAUUAAUAGAUAUGAUCUUGAAAUUUAAAAAAUUUGGCGGUAACUUAUUUUACUAGAGGAACCUGUUUUUAUUCGAUAUGCCACGUUAAAUUUUACUUAUUUUUUAUAGUUUGUAUACCAUCAUUUUUAGAUAAUUUUAACAAAAAAAUAUUAAAUAUAAUAGUUUAUAAAAAUUAGAUCAAGGUGCAGCUUAUAAAUAAGGGAGAAUGGGUUACAAUAAAAUUUAUUUAUAUGAAUUAGGUUUUGAAAUUGACUUAUAAAGGAGGAUUUAGUUGUAAUUUAGGAUUAAUAAAUCAAGGUGAGAUAAAUAUUAAGUUGUGU